AUAAUUAAGGGGAGGAAAAGAAACCAACUCGGAUUCCCCUAGUAACGGCGAGUGAAGCGGGAAGAGCUCAUGUUGUAAAUCUCCAGCUUGCUGGCGAAUUGUAGUCUAAAGGUGCGUGCUCAGUCGUGGUCCCGGGCUAAGUCUGUUGGAAAACAGCAUCAUGGACGGUGACAAUCCGGUUCUUGCCUGGGGUCCCGCGGCGUACGAGCCGUUUCCGACGAGUCGUGUUGCUUGGGAUUGCAGCACUAAGUGGGUGGUAAAUUCCAUCUAAAGCUAAAUAUUGGUGGGAGACCGAUAGCGAACAAGUACCGUGAGGGAAAGAUGAAAAGACUUUUGAAAAGAGAGUAAAAUAGUACCUGAAACUGCUGAAAGGGAAGCGAUUGAAGUCAGUGUUGCUCCUGGUCUUUUUGCCGUCGCCCCCGUGGGGGUUGCGGCGUGGGGCCUGGAGCGUUUCAACAUGCGUUCUGUUCCGCGGGAAAUGUUCAGUGUGCUGGAACCUUCGGGGAAACGCACUGUUCUUGUCGUGGUUAGGACGGAGGACCUUUGCUCCUUUGACUGCGCGUUCCUCUCUCGGGUAUGCUGGUGUCUACUGCUUGCAGUUUUCAUUUUCAUGCUUGCGACUGUGCGUGUUAUUCAUGAGCGAACAUGAUGUUGAAGAAAUGGGCUUU
rnacentral:rRNA from 1 species